rnacentral:tRNA from 2 species
GUAAAUAUAGUUUAAUAAAAACAUUAGAUUGUGAAUCUAACGAUAAAAGUUCAAACCCUUUUAUUUACC